rnacentral:rRNA from 1 species
AAUGAACGUUGGCGGCGUGGAUUAGGCAUGCAAGUCGAGCGCUCAUAGCAAUAUGGGAGCGGCGAACGGCGUAGUAAUGCAUCGGAACGUACCCUUCGGUCGGGGAUAGCCACGGGAAACUGUGGGUAAUACCCGAUGAUAUCUGCGGAUCAAAGGUGAGAUUCCGCCGGAGGAGCGGCUGAUGUGAUAUUAGCUUGAUGGUGGAGUAAUGGCCUACCAUGGCGAUGAUGUCUAGGGGGUGUGAGAGCAUGGCCCCCACGACCGGAACUGAGACACUGUCCGGACACCUACGGGUGGCUGCAGUCGAGAAUCUUCCGCAAUGGACGAAAGUCUGACGGAGCGACGCCGCGUGCGGGAUGAAGGCCCUUGGGUUGUAAACCGCUGUCAGAGGGGAUGAAAUCGUCGGGGGUACUCCCCCGAUGUUGACAGAGCCUCAAAGGAAGCACGGGCUAAGUACGUGCCAGCAGCCGCGGUAAAGUCUAG